rnacentral:rRNA from 1 species
UACGUAGGGGGCAAGCGUUGUCCGGAAUCAUUGGGCGUAAAGAGCGUGUAGGCGGCCUGGUAAGUCCGCUGUGAAAGUCCAGGGCUCAACCCUGGAAUGCCGGUGGAAACUGUCAGGCUCGAGUCCGGAAGAGGCGAGUGGAAUUCCUGGUGUAGCGGUGAAAUGCGCAGAUAUCAGGAGGAACACCAAUGGCGAAGGCAGCUCGCUGGGACGGUACUGACGCUGAGACGCGAAGGCGUGGGGAGCGAACGGG